rnacentral:rRNA from 1 species
AACGAACGCUGGCGGCAUGCCUAACACAUGCAAGUCGAACGAGACCUCCGGGUCUAGUGGCGCACGGGUGCGUAACGCGUGGGAACCUGCCCUUAGGUUCGGAAUAACUCUCCGAAAGGGGUGCUAAUACCGGAUAAUGUCUUCGGACCAAAGAUUUAUCGCCUUUGGAUGGGCCCGCGUUGGAUUAGCUAGUUGGUAGGGUAAAAGCCUACCAAGGCGACGAUCCAUAGCUGGUCUGAGAGGAUGAUCAGCCACACUGGGACUGAGACACGGCCCAGACUCCUACGGGAGGCAGCAGUGGGGAAUAUUGGACAAUGGGCGAAAGCCUGAUCCAGCAAUGCCGCGUGAGUGAUGAAGGCCUUAGGGUUGUAAAGCUCUUUUACCCGGGAUGAUAAUGACAGUACCGGGAGAAUAAGCUCCGGCUAACUCCGUG